ACAACUUUCAACAUUUCAACAGUGUGUUCUUUGAAUGAAACACAGUAUCAGUGUAAAUGUGAGGGUCUGUUUGUUUGGCCGAAUGACACGUGCCACUCAUACGAGGCCUGUGAUGACAUCACUGAUGGUUCAUGUACAUGUAUCAAUGCCCUUCCAAUCGACGGACAGUUGUGCCAAGAGCCACUUUCUGAGUUUAUGUAUGAGUAUGAGGCUGAAAUUGAUAUUGGUUUUUUGGACUUGUUCCCGGUGGACUACUUGCGCAAUCUCGUCACAAACACCAGCCUGCCUUUGACUCUGAACAACAACACACACAUCACAGAUAUUGACAUGACUACCGGUAAGAAUCUAAUAUUUCAUUCAUGUCAGGUGAAAAUAAAACAUUUUCUAAAGAAAUGUAAUUACACGACGGCUCCCGGGAAUAUUUGAGUUUAACUGGUUAGUCGCAGCAUAGCAAUAUGAUUGUCCUCCAUAGCAACGCACUGGCGCUACUCCGC